rnacentral:rRNA from 1 species
UACGUAGGGUGCAAGCGUUGUCCGGAAUUAUUGGGCGUAAAGAGCUCGUAGGCGGUUAGUCGCGUCUGCUGUGAAAACUCGGGGCUUAACUCCGGGCCUGCAGUGGGUACGGGCUGACUAGAGUGCGGUAGGGGAGACUGGAAUUCCUGGUGUAGCGGUGAAAUGCGUAGAUAUCGGGAGGAACACCAGUGGCGAAGGCGACUUCCUGGCCUGUUCUUGACGCUGAGGCGCGAAAGCUAGGGGAGCAAACGGG